GGAAUUACUUUAAUUCUUUAGUGGGUACUAGAAUCCACACAGACUACACACGAGCCCAACUUUGGUUGGUCAACCCAUGUGCAUCUAUGGAUAGGUUCAUAACCAGUUGUUUCUCUAAACAACUUCUAGUAAUUGAUUUUGCCCCAGAACCUAAUCAGUAGGCUUUGGCCUCCACUAAAAAGAUCUGGUUAGGUCCAACCAUUAACAUGACUUGAUUUGGUGAAUCGGACCAAUAAAUGAUCAGGCCCGACUUUGGCCGGCCAACCUGACCACCAUCAGAAAGACUCAA
rnacentral:lncRNA from 1 species